GGCGGACGGGUUGAGUAAUGCUUGGGAACAUGCCAUGAGGUGGGGGACAACAGUUGGAAACGACUGCUAAUACCGCAUAAUGUCUACGGACCAAAGGGGGCUUCGGCUCUCGCCUUUAGAUUGGCCCAAGUGGGAUUAGCUAGUUGGUGAGGUAAUGGCUCACCAAGGCGACGAUCCCUAGCUGGUUUGAGAGGAUGAUCAGCCACACUGGGACUGAGACACGGCCCAGACUCCUACGGGAGGCAGCAGUGGGGAAUAUUGCACAAUGGGCGCAAGCCUGAUGCAGCCAUGCCGCGUGUGUGAAGAAGGCCUUCGGGUUGUAAAGCACUUUCAGUCAGGAGGAAAGGUUAGUAGUUAAUACCUGCUAGCUGUGACGUUACUGACAGAAGAAGCACCGGCUAACUCCGUGCCAGCAGCCGCGGUAAUACGGAGGGUGCGAGCGUUAAUCGGAAUUACUGGGCGUAAAGCGUAC
rnacentral:rRNA from 1 species